rnacentral:tRNA from 1 species
GAGGAUGUAGCUCAUAUAGUAGAGCGCUUGCUUAGCAUGCGAGUGGUACGGGGAUCAAUACCCCGCAUCUCUA